rnacentral:rRNA from 1 species
AUACGUAGGGGGCGAGCGUUGUCCGGAAUGAUUGGGCGUAAAGGGCGCGUAGGCGGCUGUUCAAGUCUGGAGUGAAAGUCCUAUUUUCAAGGUAGGAAUGGCUUUGGAAACUGAGCAGCUUGAGUGCAGGAGAGGUUAUCGGAAUUCCCGGUGUAGCGGUGAAAUGCGUAGAGAUCGGGAGGAACACCAGUGGCGAAGGCGGGUAACUGGACUGCAACUGACGCUGAGGCGCGAAAGUGUGGGGAGCAAACAGGAUUAGAUACCCUGGGAGUCCACACUGUAAACGAUGAAUGCUAGGUGUAGGGGGUAUCGACCCCUUCUGUGCCGGAGUUAACGCAAUAAGCAUUCCGCCUGGGGAGUACGGCCGCAAGGUUAAA